AACGAACGCUGGCGGCAUGCCUAACACAUGCAAGUCGAACGAGACCUUCGGGUCUCGUGGCGCACGGGUGCGUAACGCGUGGGGACCUGCCCUUAGGUUCGGAAUAACUCCCCGAAAGGGGUGCUAAUACCGGAUAAUGUCUUCGGACCAAAGAUUUAUCGCCUUUGGAUGGGCCCGCGUUGGAUUAGCUAGUUGGUAGGGUAAAAGCCUACCAAGGCGACGAUCCAUAGCUGGUCUGAGAGGAUGAUCAGCCACACUGGGACUGAGACACGGCCCAGACUCCUACGGGAGGCAGCAGUGGGGAAUAUUGGACAAUGGGCGAAAGCCUGAUCCAGCAAUGCCGCGUGAGUGAUGAAGGCCUUAGGGUUGUAAAGCUCUUUUACCCGGGAUGAUAAUGACAGUACCGGGAGAAUAAGCUCCGGCUAACUCCGUG
rnacentral:rRNA from 1 species